rnacentral:rRNA from 1 species
UUUUCCUACGGGGGGCAGCAGUGGGGAAUAUUGCACAAUGGGGGGAACCCUGAUGCAGCAAUGCCGCGUGGGUGAAGAAGCACUCCGGUGCGUAAAGCCCUGUCAGCAAGGAAGAAAAUGACAGUAUCUGACCAAGAAGCCCCGGCUAACUACGUGCCAGCAGCCGCGGUAAUACGUAGGGGGCAAGCGUUAUCCGGAUUUACUGGGUGUAAAGGGAGCGCAGGCGGCGUGGCAAGUCAGAUGUGAAAACCCGGGGCCCAACCCC